rnacentral:tRNA from 12 species
CGCGGGGUGGAGCAGUUCGGUAGCUCGCUGGGCUCAUAACCCAGAGGUCGCAGGUUCAAAUCCUGUCCCCGCAACGA